rnacentral:rRNA from 2 species
CGAGCGGGGUUAUGUAGAAGCUUGCUUCUACAUAACCUAGCGGCGGACGGGUGAGUAACACGUAGGCAACCUGCCCACAAGACAGGGAUAACUACCGGAAACGGUAGCUAAUACCCGAUACAUCCUUUUCCUGCAUGGGAGAAGGAGGAAAGACGGAGCAAUCUGUCACUUGUGGAUGGGCCUGCGGCGCAUUAGCUAGUUGGUGGGGUAAAGGCCUACCAAGGCGACGAUGCGUAGCCGACCUGAGAGGGUGAUCGGCCACACUGGGACUGAGACACGGCCCAGACCCCGACGGGAGGCAGCAGUAGGGAAUCUUCCGCAAUGGGCGAAAGCCUGACGGAGCAACGCCGCGUGAGUGAUGAAGGUUUUCGGAUCGUAAAGCUCUGUUGCCAGGGAAGAACGUCUUGUAGAGUAACUGCUACAAGAGUGACGGUACCUGAGAAGAAAGCCCCGGCUAACUACGUG